AGCCAACAACUGUGUAACUACUGCUACUUCGACAACUUUUCCACUGGACUAGAAAAGUUUUUCUCUCUGGAAGUGACAUUAGGUCUUAGUUUCAGGCACAAUUUUACCGGCAGGAACUCCGGUAAGGAGCAAGGCCUCCUUGCCCCCUCCCCAGACGCGGUCAGAGCCCGGUCUCCGGUGGCUGCGGAGAGCCAGCAGGGCUCGGCAGCGCAGCCGGCCCGGGCGCUCGGGCAUUCACCGCGUUCAGCUCCGCGGCACAGCCACCGGCCUGGCCUGAAACCUGCCCGGCGCCGUCCCGGGCCGCAGGCAGGGACCCAGCACCCGCACUGGGGAACGGCCGCUCCGACCACGCCGCGACCAGCGGAAUAUGGAAGUGCGGGGAGGUCCCUCCCUCCCUCUCCUCACGCUGCCGUCCUACGAUUUCUUCCUUCCCCCACCAGAACCAUAGCGGAUGGACAGCCACCGAGGCGGCAGCUCCCGCGAACAGACCCGCACCACAGACUACAGCGUGCAUUAGCAGAAAAAAAAGCACAGAUAUUUUUCGUGGCACCCGCAGGGCGGGACCGGCGGGGCCCGGUCGGCUGCAGCCCCCGCUGUUCCCCAGCAGCUGGGCCAGGCGGACGCGGCGGUGCCUCCCCCCCUUUCCCAGAGCCUCUCGGCUGGUGGGGAGGCGGCCCUGGGCUGAGGAAACCGGCCGGGGGACUCGCGGGAGCCCGCAGGCGCCGCCAGCUCAGCCCACACUGCCCCUUCCCCCCCGGGCUGAGUCACCCGCUCCGCGUGUCGCGUCCUGCCCGCGUCCCCCCGCCGGUACCUUCCCGGUCAGUGCUCCAUCGCCGCCGGCUCCUGCCCACCCCCACAGCUCCGCAGCCGCCACGAGCACAGGGAGCGGAGCGGGCCGGGCCGGGCCGCGCCGCCUCGGCUGGCGGCAGGAGGAGGAGGAGGAGGAGACCAAGCAGGACCACCCCUCUCCGCCAAGCCGGCCGGCCGCGAGGCACGCCGGGAUGUACACCGGCCGCGAAACAGCCUGGGAGUCGUAGUCCUAUCCCCGGCUCAGUACCGCCAGCACCGCUGUAA
rnacentral:lncRNA from 1 species